rnacentral:rRNA from 1 species
AUUGAACGCUGGCGGCAGGCCUAACACAUGCAAGUCGAACGAGUGGCGGACGGGUGAGUAGUGUCUGGGAAACUGCCUGAUGGAGGGGGAUCACCACUGGAAGCGGUAGCUAAUACCGUAUACCAUCGUAUGUGCCCAGAUGGGAUUAGCUAGUCUGUGGGUGAAAGGCGCACCUAGGCGACGAUCCCUCGCUGGUCUGAGAGGAUGACCAGCCACACUGGAACGGAGACACGGUCCAGACUCCUACGGGAGGCAGCAGUGGGGAAUAUUGCACAAUGUGCGAAAGCCUGAUGCAGCCAUGCCGCGUGUAUGAAGAAGGCCUUCGGGUUGUAAAGUACUUUCAGCGGGGAGGCGUUACCCGCAGAAGAAGCACCGGCUAACUCCGUGCCAGCCGCCGCGGUAAUAC